CGCUAGCUACAGGCUUAACACAUGCAAGUCGAGGGGAAACGACAUCGAAAGCUUGCUUUUGAUGGGCGUCGACCGGCGCACGGGUGAGUAACGCGUAUCCAACCUGCCCACCACUUGGGAAUAACCUUGCGAAAGUAAGACUAAUACCCAAUGAUAUCUCUAGAAGGCAUCAGAGAGAGAUUAAAGAUUUAUCGGUGAUGGAUGGGGAUGCGUCUGAUUAGCUUGUUGGCGGGGUAACGGCCCACCAAGGCUACGAUCAGUAGGGGUUCUGAGAGGAAGGUCCCCCACAUUGGAACUGAGACACGGUCCAAACUCCUACGGGAGGCAGCAGUGAGGAAUAUUGGUCAAUGGACGAGAGUCUGAACCAGCCAAGUAGCGUGCAGGAUGACGGCCCUAUGGGUUGUAAACUGCUUUUAUAAGGGAAUAAAGUGAGUCUCGUGAGACUUUUUGCAUGUACCUUAUGAAUAAGGACCGGCUAAUUCCGUGCCAGCAGCCGCGGUAAUACGGAAGGUCCGGGCGUUAUCCGGAUUUAUUGGGUUUAAAGGGAGCGUAGGCCGGAGAUUAAGCGUGUUGUGAAAUGUAGAUGCUCAACAUCUGCACUGCAGCGCGAACUGGUUUCCUUGAGUACGCACAAAGUGGGCGGAAUUCGUGGUGUAGCGGUGAAAUGCUUAGAUAUCACGAAGAACUCCGAUUGCGAAGGCAGCUCACUGGAGCGCAACUGACGCUGAAGCUCGAAAGUGCGGGUAUCGAACAGGAUUAGAUACCCUGGUAGUCCGCACGGUAAACGAUGGAUGCCCGCUGUUGGUCUGAAUAGGUCAGCGGCC
rnacentral:rRNA from 1 species